UCUCAGUAAAUAUUUCUUUUUGAAAUAGACCCAAAGUGCUUCCCAACUUACUUCAUAACAUUAGUCUACAUCUUGUUUGAAUUUUGAGCCCCUGUGUCCUGUUUUAAGGUACCAGAUUCAUAGAAGCACCAAUUAAUGUAUGACAAACCUGA